GUUGGGUCAAGUCCACAGGAGCUCCUUGCUCAAGUACUCUUCCUUAAGGCUGCCCCCUCCGUCAAACAGAGAGCUGCUUUCUAAGGACCCCCCCUCACCAACAAUGGUCCUCCUGCUGCUCCCUAUCACUCUGCCAGCAGCGGAGUCAAGAUGAGCACCGUCCAGCAGCACCUUCCUCCCACAUCCCUCUUUCCAUUGUCUUCGGCACCGCGACCCCUCGGCAUGAAAAUCCCGGCACUCCCACACUGAA